CAUUAUGGCCAGAUUGGACUGAUUGUACCCAAUCCUGUCUGAUCUUGGAAACUAAGCAGUUCUGGGCCUGGCUACUACCUGGAUGGAAGACUGCCCAGGAAUCCUGGGUGCCUCACCAA
rnacentral:rRNA from 1 species